rnacentral:tRNA from 1 species
GAUGGAAUGAUUCAAGUGUAGAAUGUCUGCUUAGCAAGCAUGAGGUCCUGAGUUCAAACUCAGUAUUGCCA